UAGGGAAUAUUGCACAAUAGACGGAAGUCUGAUGCAGCAACGCCGCGUGUGCGAAGAAGGCCUUCGGGUUGUAAAGCACUUUUAGCGGGGAAGAGGAAGGACAGUACCCGCAGAAUAAGCCUCGGCUAACUACGUGCCAGCAGCCGCGGUAAGACGUAGGAGGCGAGCGUUAUCCGGAUUUACUGGGCGUAAAGCGCGUGCAGGCGGUUGCGCAAGUUGGAUGUGAAAGCUCCUGGCUUAACCGGGAGAGGUCGUUCAGAACUGCGUGACUAGAGAGCGAAAGAGGGAGGCAGAAUUCCGAGUGUAGUGGUGAAAUGCGUAGAUAUUCGGAGGAAUACCAGAGGCGAAGGCGGCCUCCUGGUUCGCCACUGACGCUGAGACGCGAAAGCUAGGGUAGCAA
rnacentral:rRNA from 1 species